AGGCGACCGACGCUGAAAGGGCCGCGGAGUCGCGUGUCAGGGCUGGAGGGAGAUCUUGAGGUCCUCCCAGUGACUGACCUGGCUCAUUCUCCGAAAGUGGUUGACAGGCCACUACGAGAGCUCUUGAGAGAAGCUUUGUGACAUGAAAUUCAUCAAAUGAAGCAAGAUUCAUUUUUAAAGAAUAAUACAAAGCUCCAGAGUAAUAUGCUUAAUCCAAAUGUUUAAAUAGAAUUUAAAACCACAUUUUAAGUAAAUUUAAAAUUAAUGAAAUAUCAAUAGUUUGCCUUAACAAGGACUUGCUUGAACCAUAUUCUCCUUUUAAAAUCACACACACAGAAUCAGUGUACAUUUAGAGAAAUUUCCCCAGCUGAAUAACAUUUUUGACAUGAAUUCAUUCAAAAGACACCAACCAUUAUGAAUAUUUUAGGCCAUGAUAAGCUGUAACCACCUCCGGCUUAUGGUGGUUAGGAUGUUGCAGCUUAAUGUUGACAUCUGG
rnacentral:lncRNA from 1 species